rnacentral:rRNA from 1 species
CGGGGAAUAUUGCACAAUGGGUGAAACCCUGAUGCAGCGACGCCGCGUGAACGAAGAAGGUAUUCGUAUCGUAAAGUUCUGUCCUAUGGGAAGAUAAUGACAGUACCAUAGAAGAAAGCUCCGGCUAAAUACGUGCCAGCAGCCGCGGUAAUACGUAUGGAGCGAGCGUUGUCCGGAAUUAUUGGGCGUAAAGGGUACGCAGGCGGUUUAAUAAGUCGAAUGUUAAAGAUCGGGGCUCAACCCCGCAAAGCAUUGGAAACUGAUAAACUUGAGUAGUGGAGAGGAAAGUGGAAUUCCUAGUGUAGUGGUGAAAUACGUAGAUAUUAGGAGGAAUACCAGUAGCGAAGGCGACUUUCUGGACACAAACUGACGCUGAGGUACGAAAGCGUGGGGAGCAAACAGG